UGAGCUAACCGAGUAAUCGCUCUAUUUUAUAUAGAGAGGAAAGUCUGGGCUCCAUAGAGCAAAGUGCCAGGUAACUCCUGGAAAGCGUGAGCUUAUGGAAAGUGCAACAGAAAAUAUACCGCAACNUAUGUUGUAAGGGUGAAAAGGUAAGGUAAGAGCUUACCGCAUUUUCAGUAAUGAAAAUGGCAAUGUAAACCCCACUUGGAGCAAGGUCAAAUAGGAAAGNUAUAGUGCUGCUCGUACUNCUUUCGGGUAGACCGCUAGAUGCAUAUGGUGACAUAUGUACAAGAUUAAUGAUUACUAAAACAGAACCCAGCUUACUGGUUGGCUCACUUA
rnacentral:RNase_P_RNA from 1 species